rnacentral:rRNA from 1 species
GACGAACGCUGGCGGCGUGCUUAACACAUGCAAGUCGAACGGAAAGGCCCUGCUUUUGUGGGGUGCUCGAGUGGCGAACGGGUGAGUAACACGUGAGUAACCUGCCCUUGACUUUGGGAUAACUUCAGGAAACUGGGGCUACUACCGGAUAGGAGCUCCUGCUGCAUGGUGGGGGUUGGAUAGUUUCGGCGGUUGGGGAUGGACUCGCGGCUUAUCAGCUUGUUGGUGGGGUAGUGGCUUACCAAGGCUUUGACGGGUAGCCGGCCUGAGAGGGUGACCGGCCACAUGGGGACUGAGAUAGGGCCCAGACGCCUACGGGAGGCAGCAGGGGGGAAUAUGGCACAAUGGGCGGAAGCGUGAUGCAGAAACGCCGCGUGCGGGAUGACGGCCUGUGGGGUGUAAACCGCUGUCGCCUGAGACGAAGCGUGAGUGACGGUAAUGGGUAAAGAAGCACCGGCUAACUACGUG